AUACGGAGGAUGCGAGCGUUAUCCGGAUUUAUUGGGUUUAAAGGGAGCGCAGGCUGGAUAUUAAGCGUGACGUGAAAUGCCGCGGCUCAACCGUGGAAGUGCGUCGCGAACUGGUGUCCUUGAGUGUAUUCGACGUCAGCGGAAUUCGUGGUGUAGCGGUGAAAUGCUUAGAUAUCACGAAGAACUCCGAUUGCGAAGGCAGCUGGCGAUGCUACAACUGACGCUAAAGCUCGAAGGUGCGGGUAUCGAACAGGAUUAGAUACCCUGGUAGUCCGCACAGUAAACGAUGGAUGCCCGCUGUAUGCGAUAUAGUGUAUGCGGCCAAGCGAAAGCGUUAAGCAUCCCACCUGGGGAGUACGCCGGCAACGGUGAAACUCAAAUGAAUUGGCGGGG
rnacentral:rRNA from 1 species